rnacentral:rRNA from 1 species
UACGGGGGGGGGUAAGCGUUGUUCGGAAUUACUGGGCGUAAAGAGCUCGUAGGUGGUUUGUCGCGUUGUUCGUGAAAACUCACAGCUUAACUGUGGGCGUGCGGGCGAUACGGGCAGACUGGAGUACUGCAGGGGGAGACUGGAAUUCCUGGUGUAGCGGUGGAAUGCGCAGAUAUCAGGAGGAACACCGGUGGCGAAGGCGGGUCUCUGGGGCAGUAACUGACGCUGAGGAGCGAAAGCGUGGGGAGCAAACAGG